AGGGAAUAUUGGGCAAUGGGCGAGAGCCUGACCCAGCCAUGCCGCGUGCAGGAAGAAGGCUUUCUGAGUCGUAAACUGCUUUUGACAGGGAAGAAUAAGCUGGACGUGUCCAGUGAUGACGGUACCUGCAGAAUAAGCACCGGCUAACUCCGUGCCAGCAGCCGCGGUAAUACGGAGGGUGCGAGCGUUGUCCGGAUUUAUUGGGUUUAAAGGGUGCGUAGGCGGCCGUUUAAGUCUGGGGUGAAAGCCCGCUGCUCAACAGCGGAACUGCCCUGGAUACUGGAUGGCUUGAGUACAGACGAGGUUGGCGGAAUGGACUGAGUAGCGGUGAAAUGCAUAGAUACAGUCCAGAACCCCGAUUGCGAAGGCAGCUGACUAGGCUGUUACUGACGCUGAGGCACGAAAGCGUGGGGAGCGAAC
rnacentral:rRNA from 1 species